rnacentral:rRNA from 1 species
CAAUAAGCGGAGGAAAAGAAACCAACCGGGAUUGCCCUAGUAACGGCGAGUGAAGCGGCAACAGCUCAAAUUUGAAAUCUGGCUCCUUUGGGGUCCGAGUUGUAAUUUGCAGAGGAUGCUUCGGCGUUGGCACCGGUUCAAGUGCCUUGGAACAGGCCGUCCUAGAGGGUGAGAGCCCCGUCUCGGACCGUGUCGCCAGCGCCAUGUGUAGCUCCCUCGACGAGUCGAGUUGUUUGGGAAUGCAGCUCUAAGCGGGUGGUAAAUUCCAUCUAAAGCUAAAUACCGGCCGGAGACCGAUAGCGCACAAGUAGAGUGAUCGAAAGAUGAAAAGCACUUUGAAAAGAGAGUUAAAAAGCACGUGAAAUUGUUGAAAGGGAAGCGCUCGCGGCCAGACUCGCGGCGAGGGUUCAGCCGGCCGUCAGGCCGGUCCACUCCCUCGUCCGCGGGCCAGCAUCAGUUGGGGCGGUCGGAGAACGGCGCCGGGAACGUAGCCCCUCGGGGUGUUAUAGCCCGGCGCACAAUGCGACCCGCCCCGACUGAGGAUCGCGCUUCGGCUCGGAUGCUGGCGUAAUGGCCGUGAGCGGCCCGUCUUGAAACACG